rnacentral:lncRNA from 1 species
UGGUCUUGGGUUGGUCUGCGUCGCCAUUGUGCGACGCAGCGACGACAACACAAGAGACGAGAGAGGUCAGAGGUGCCCACAGCACUUCCAGUAAUGUCACCUUCAGGUAGCUAGCUACGGGAAAUAGGAGCUGCGGAGUACAUUGCUGGGAUAGCAGCAUCCUACAGGUCUCGCAUGAUAAUGACUGGCGACGCGCCUGGAGCCCUAGCUAGAUGCUAGAUGCUUUGCCUGUACCUCCUAAUCGCAGCCUAAGCUGGGGCCUAAACAGUUACAGCAAAAAAACUGCUUUGCCCUUUGCGGGUCAUUGUUGUAUGUCUGCCAUCAUCCACACCAUGGGCGGACGGUCUGGAAAUGCAAAUGAUGCGCACGGGCCCGACGGGGAGGCUGAACUUGGCAUCCAUCUCUGAUCGGCCCCUC